GGAAGCGUUUCGAGCGCUGGUGCCUCGCCCGGACUUCAAAUCCGGUGGGAGCCGUGGCGACACGGCUUCGGCGGGUUCGAUUCCCGUCCGCUUCCGCCA
rnacentral:tRNA from 1 species